UACGUAGGGCGCAAGCGUUAUCCGGAAUUAUUGGGCGUAAAGAGCUCGUAGGCGGUUUGUCGCGUCUGCCGUGAAAGUCCGGGGCUCAACUCCGGAUCUGCGGUGGGUACGGGCAGACUAGAGUGAUGUAGGGGAGACUGGAAUUCCUGGUGUAGCGGUGAAAUGCGCAAAGUAUCAGGAGGAACACCGAUGGCGAAGGCAGGUCUCUGGGCAUUAACUGACGCUGAGGAGCGAAAGCAUGGGGAGCGAACAGG
rnacentral:rRNA from 1 species